UAGUCAAUGGCUUUAUCUCUGUCUUUCUUCGCCACACUUCAUUUGACUCUGCUCUUCUUACUGUUUUUCGUAAACCCUUUAGCGAUUAAUGGUUAUUCAGACGAGGAUAUAGACUCUGAGUUCAUUCUUUUUCAUCAAGAUUAUACCCCACCGGCUCCACCACCUCCGCCGCCGCACCCCCCGUCGGUAUCAUGUGAGGAUGAUCUAGGAGGUGUUGGAUCGUUGGAUACUACUUGUAAG
rnacentral:misc_RNA from 1 species